rnacentral:rRNA from 1 species
AUUGAACGCUGACAGAAUGCUUAACACAUCAGCAAUUGAUUGGUGGCGGACGGGUGAGUAACGCGUAAAUAACUUGCCUCACAGCUAGGGGCAACAUUUGUAAACGAAUGCUAAUACCUAAUCCUGUGAGAGAGCUUUGCGUCCCAUUAGCAAGUUGGAGAGGUAACGGCUCACCAAGGCGAGGAUGGGUAGCCGGCCUGAGAGGGUGAUCGGCCACAAGGGGACUUGGACACGGCCCUUAGUCCUAAGGGAGGCAGCAGUGGGGAAUAUUGGACAAUGGACCAAAGUCUGAUCCAGCAAUUCUGUGUGCAAGAGGAAGUUGUCGGAAGGUAAAGGGCUUUCAGUUGGGAAGCGGUACCAACAGAAGAAGUGACGGCUAAAUACGUGCCAGCAGCCGCGGUAAUUC